rnacentral:rRNA from 1 species
UACGGAGGCAGCAGUGGGGAAUAUUGCACAAUGGGCGCAAGCCUGAUGCAGCCAUGCCGCGUGUGUGAAGAAGGCCUUCGGGUUGUAAAGCACUUUCAGCGAGGAGGAAGGCCCGAUGGUUAAUACCCAUCAGGAUUGACGUUACUCGCAGAAGAAGCACCGGCUAACUCCGUGCCAGCGACCGCGGUAAU